AACAGGAUUAGAUACCCUGGUAGUCCACGCCGUAAACGGUGGGUACUAGGUGUGGGUUUCCUUCCUUGGGAUCCGUGCCGUAGCUAACGCAUUAAGUACCCCGCCUGGGGAGUACGGCCGCAAGGCUAAAACUCAAAGAAAUUGACGGGGGCCCGCACAAGCGGCGGAGCAUGUGGAUUAAUUCGAUGCAACGCGAAGAACCUUACCUGGGUUUGACAUGCACAGGACGACGGCAGAGAUGUCGUUUCCCUUGUGGUCUGUGUGCAGGUGGUGCAUGGCUGUCGUCAGCUCGUGUCGUGAGAUGUUGGGUUAAGUCCCGCAACGAGCGCAACCCUUGUCUCAUGUUGCCAGCGCGUUAUGGCGGGGACUCGUGAGAGACUGCCGGGGUCAACUCGGAGGAAGGUGGGGAUGACGUCAGGUCAUCAUGCCCCUUAUGUCCAGGGCUUCACACAUGCUACAAUGGUCGGUACAAAGGGCUGCGAUGCCGUGAGGCUUAGCGAAUCCUUUAAAGCCGGUCUCAGUUCGGAUCGGGGUCUACAACUCGACCCCGUGAAGUCGGAGUCGCUAGUAAUCGCAGAUCAGCAACGCUGCGGUGAAUACGUUCCCGGGCCUUGUACACACCGCCCGUCACGUCAUGAAAGUCGGUAACACCCGAAGCCAGUGGCCUAACCCUUGUGGGGGGAGCUGUCGAAGGUGGGAUCGGCGAUUGGGACGAAGUCGUAACAAGGUAACC
rnacentral:rRNA from 1 species